AGUGAACGCUGGCGGUAGGCCUAACACAUGCCAGUCGAACGGCAGCACAGUAAGAGCUUGCUCUUACGGGUGGCGAGUGGCGGACGGGUGAGGAAUACAUCGGAAUCUACUUUUUCGUGGGGGAUAACGUAGGGAAACUUACGCUAAUACCGCAUACGACCUACGGGUGAAAGCAUGGGAUCUUCGGACCUUGCGUGAUUGAAUGAGCCGAUGUCGGAUUAGCUAGUUGGCGGGGUAAAGGCCCACCAAGGCGACGAUCCGUAGCUGGUCUGAGAGGAUGAUCAGCCACACUGGAACUGAGACACGGUCCAGACUCCUACGGGAGGCAGCAGUGGGGAAUAUUGGACAAUGGGCGCAAGCCUGAUCCAGCCAUACCGCGUGGGUGAAGAAGGCCUUCGGAUUGUAAAGCCCUUUUAUUGGGAAAGAAAAGCAGCAGGUUAAUACCCCGCUGUUCUGACGGUACCCAAAGAAUAAGCACCGGCUAACUUCGUG
rnacentral:rRNA from 1 species